rnacentral:rRNA from 1 species
GCGUAAGCGCACGCAGGCGGUCUGUCAAGUCGGAUGUGAAAUCCCCGGGCUCAACCUGGGAACUGCAUUCGAAACUGGCAGGCUAGAGUCUUGUAGAGGGGGGUAGAAUUCCAGGUGUAGCGGUGAAAUGCGUAGAGAUCUGGAGGAAUACCGGUGGCGAAGGCGGCCCCCUGGACAAAGACUGACGCUCAGGUGCGAAAGCGUGGGGAGCAAACAGGAUUAGAUACCCUGGUAGUCCACGCCGUAAACGAUGUCGACUUGGAGGUUGUGCCCUUGAGGCGUGGCUUCCGGAGCUAACGCGUUAAGUCGACCGCCUGGGGAGUACGGCCGCAAGGUUAAAACUCAAAUGAAUUGACGGGGGCCCGCACAAGCGGUGGAGCAUGUGGUUUAAUUCGAUGCAACGCGAAGAACCUUACCUACUCUUGACAUCCAGAGAACUUUCCAGAGAUGCAUUGGUGCCUUCGGGAACUCUGAGACAGGUGCUGCAUGGCUGUCGUCAGCUCGUGUUGUGAAAUGUUGGGUUAAGUCCCGCAACGAGCGCAACCCUUAUCCUUUGUUGCCAGCGGUUAGGCCGGGAACUCA